UGGAGCAUGUGGUUUAAUUCGAAGCAACGCGAAGAACCUUACCAAAUCUUGACAUCCUUUGACAACUCUAGAGAUAGAGCCUUCCCCUUCGGGGGACAAAGUGACAGGUGGUGCAUGGUUGUCGUCAGCUCGUGUCGUGAGAUGUUGGGUUAAGUCCCCGCAACGAGCGCAACCCUUAAACUUAGUUGCCAGCAUUUAGUUGGGCACUCUAAGUUGACUGCCGGUGACAAACCGGAGGAAGGUGGGGAUGACGUCAAAUCAUCAUGCCCCUUAUGAUUUGGGCUACACACGUGCUACAAUGGACAAUACAAAGGGCAGCUAAACCGCGAGGUCAUGCAAAUCCCAUAAAGUUGUUCUCAGUUCGGAUUGUAGUCUGCAACUCGACUACAUGAAGCUGGAAUCGCUAGUAAUCGUAGAUCAGCAUGCUACGGUGAAUACGUUCCCGGGUCUUGUACACACCGCCCGUCACACCACGAGAGUUUGUAACACCCGAAGCCGGUGGAGUAACCAUUUAUGGA
rnacentral:rRNA from 1 species